rnacentral:tRNA from 1 species
GCCGGGGUGGCGAAAUGGCAGACGCACUAGACUCAAAAUCUGGCGCUCGCAAGGGCAUGAGGGUUCGACUCCCUCCCCCGGCACCA